UACAGAGGUCUCAAGCGUUGUUCGGAUUCAUUGGGCGUAAAGGGUGCGUAGGUGGCGCCGUAAGUCGGGUGUGAAAUUUCGGAGCUUAACUCCGAAACUGCAUUCGAUACUGCGGUGCUUGAGGACUGGAGAGGAGACUGGAAUUUACGGUGCAGCGGUGAAAUGCGUAGAUAUCGUUUGGAACGCCAAUGGUGAAAACAGGUCGCUGGGGAUGAGCUGACGCUGAGACACGAAAGCCAGGGGAGCAAACGGG
rnacentral:rRNA from 1 species